AUGCGCCCCACCUCAGCUAACAUGAUGCCGCCUGUAUCAACUGUCAGCUGCUCCCCUAGCAACGAAAUGUAAACAAUGUAAGAUCCGGAACAGAAAAAAAACUACGAACUUGGCCUCGCUUCUUUUUUUGUGUCUUACAGAUACUUGCAAGCAGUUUGAGAAACACAUGUAAACACACACAUAGGCAUUCACAUGAACACAUACUGCUUGCUCCAAAAACCCCUAUAUGCUCUCAAAAACACACUGGUACACAUUCGCUUACACUUACACACGCUCCUAAAGUUUUACUCUCCCUCUCUCUCUCUCUUUCACUCUCACGCACACAUAUAUAAACAUACUCAUAUACAGAGACGCGCUUACUCUUACAUCUCUAUAUAUGAUCCUCCAAGUACCACCCACAUAAUACAGACACACACAAACACACAUGCACACACACACUCAUGAAUGCUGCCCCUGAUCCCAAAAUGGUAAAGCCCAAAGUAAACCUCAUUACAAGCGGAACUUCGAAAUAUUCCAAGAAGAAGCGAGAUGAGUCUGUGUACCAUUACUUGAAACGAUUGUCACACCUGCACCUCGAAGGCAAGAAUUUGACUGAAAUUGACUGUGACUUUUCUGUGUGUCCCCAAUUAUCAGUAUUGUAUCUGUAUGACAACCAUUUAACAGCAAUCCCAGACUUAUCCAGAAACAGGAACCUAUCACACCUCUACCUCCAAGACAAUCAGAUCCGGCAUAUUCCAGACCUCUCCAGUCUAAUACAACUAACAAAACUGUAUCUCAGUAAUAACUGCAUUGCAGUGAUUGAGGGUCUCAAAAACCUUCAUCAUCUCAAUGAACUUUACAUCGACAGACAGCAGCUGCCCCCUGGAGAGAAGCUCCUACUUGAUCCAAGAUCCAUCAGAGCUAUUGCUGUCUGCCUGCAAGUCCUCAACAUCUCCGGCAACAGACUGACCAGUCUCAAUGAGCUUCACCCUCUGCACCAGUUGACCUGCCUUUACGCGUCAGACAACAAGGUUUCGCAGUUCAGCGACGUCGCAGGUGCACUGAUGAACAUGGAGAAGUUGGCGACACUCGAGCUGCACGGCAACCCAAUGUGCCGCAACAAAAGGUACCGAGACAAGCUCAUCAUCAUGGUAAAGAGCUUAGAAAACCUUGAUGGCAAAGAUAUUAGUGUCACCUCCAAGACAUUCAUACAUAACUGGUCUGCUAGCAGGACUGCCUUAAGACCAAGAAGAGAGCCUACACGAGUUCUAAACCCAUACAAAGGUGACCCAGUGGAUGAUACCAAUUUCACCACUUUCCCACGAGAUUCCAAAGUCUCUGGCUACAUGAUGCCUGGUAACUUUGACACUGUUAAUUAUUAAUGGACAUAUUGACAUAAUUAUUAUUAUUAUUACUAUUGAUCACCAUAGUUGACCACACUGUCUGACCUCUACACAUAUUCUGUCGGACAUAUGCACUAACAUUUACAUAAUAAUAAUAAUAAUAAUAAUAAUAAUAAUAAUA
rnacentral:misc_RNA from 1 species